rnacentral:rRNA from 1 species
AUUGAACGCUGGCGGCAUGCCUAACACAUGCAAGUCGAGCGGAGCGGCGGACGGGUGCGUAAUGCCUAGGAAUCUGCCUGGUAGUGGGGGAUAACGGCCGGAAAUGGGCGCUAAUACCGCAUACUAUCAGAUGAGCCUCGGUCGGAUUAGCUUGUGGGUGGGGUAAAGGCUUACCAAGGCGGUGAUCCGUAACCGGUCUUAGAGGAGGAUCAGUCACACGUGAACUGAGACACGGUCCAGACUCCUACGGGAGGCAGCAGUGGGGAAUAUUGGACAAUGGGCGAAAGCCGGAUCCAGACAGGCCGCGUGUGUGAAGAAGGUCUUCGGAUUGUAAAGCACUUUAAGUUGGGAGGCGUUACCAACAGAAUAAGCACCGGCUAACUCCGUGCCAGCAGCCGCGGUAAUAC